rnacentral:lncRNA from 1 species
CACAUUAGAUUGCUACUGAAACUUUUCAACACUGAACAUUUCACUGAUUCCCUUUUCUCUGCCAUCUGUGUGAUCUGGCCUCUUUCCAAAUAAUGCUGCUUUCCCAGUGGAUGUGGUUGUCCUGGUACAAGAGUUUUCAGUCAGGCUUUUCACACCAGCUGCUCAGAUGGAGAAAACAGCACUUGGGAGUCAGAGAGCAAAAGUGUUCAGUGAAGAAGUUUAUUCAUGAGGGAAGAGUUUCAUUGGUGUUGGAAGGAAAACACAGAAAAGUAAACACAGCCCACUAGAUUACAACAGGGAUCACAUGGAAGAGGAGGAAAAUUUCUGCAACAAAAUUUGAAGAUACAUUUUCUCUUUAAGAAAAAUAUAAAGAAG